rnacentral:lncRNA from 1 species
UUGAUGUUGAUGGACCUUCAUCUUAUUCAUUUAUUUAUAUGCGGUGCUGAGAAUCGAACCCAGUGUCUCACACAUGUGAGGCAAGUGCUCUGCCACUGAGCCACAACCCCAGGCCAACUUACUUUUUAAAAAACUGAAUAUCCGGGCUGGGGAUGUGGCUCAAGCAGUAGCAUGCUCGCCUGGCAUGCGCAGAACACUGGGUUUGAUCCUCAGCACCACAUAAAAAUAAAAUAAAGAUGUUGUGUCCAUUGAAAACUUAAAAAAAAAUCUGUUAAAAAAAACAACACCUGAAUAUCCAUGGCGUGUGCAUGUAAAUAUACACAAUAUAUUUGUAUACAUACACCAAAAAUGGUUUAUUUAGUUCUUCAUAAGUGGACACUUUGAUUUCUUCACCUCUUGGCUAUUGUGAGUAAUGCUGUUAUGAACACAUGCAACUAACUCUUUUUGAGAUGCUUUCCAUUUUUUUCCCCAUUAUUUUGGAUUUAUACCCAGAAGUGGAAUUGUUGAAUCACAUGAUUCCAUUUAAAAAUUCUUGAACGUUUUUUUUUUGUUGUUGUUGUUGUUUGUGUGUGGUACUGUGGAUUGAACCCAGGGCCUUAUUUGUGUAUGCAAGGCAAGCACUCUACCAACUGAGCUGUAUCCCCAGCCCGGAACUUUUCUGUUUUCUUUUUAAAUAUUUUUAGUUGUAAAUGGGCACAAUACCUUUUUAAAUUUAUUUUUAUGUGGUGCUGAGGAUCAAAUCCAGUGCCUCACACAUGCUAGGCAAGUGCUCUACCACUAAGCCACAACCCCAGCCCAAACUUUCCUGUUUUCUACAGCAGCUGCACCAUUUUACAUUCCCAACACUGCACCAGGGUGCAUGUUAUUAGCAACACUUAUUUUUUAUAGUAGCCAUCCUAAUUGAGGUGUUCUAUGAUUUUAACUUUUAUUUCUUUAAUAAUUAGUUAUGUUGAGCAUUUUUGUUGUUGCUGCAACUGAAGACUGACCCAGAGUCUUGUACAUGAGCUCUACAACUGAGUUACAAUCCCAUAUAUUUAUGUUUUGGUACCAGGGAUUGAACUCAGGGGUACUGAAUCACUGAGUCCCAUCCCCAGCCCCCCCUUUUUUUGGAGACAACGUCUCAGUAAGUUGCUG